ACUUGUUUAGUAUAUAAGUAUGGUUGACUUCCAAUCAGCAGGUUUGGUUUCCAAAACAAGUA
rnacentral:tRNA from 1 species